rnacentral:lncRNA from 1 species
AUCCUCCCAAACUGUGCCCCAGGAGGAUCAUGGUAGGGAUUCCCAUUGUCUCCCGCCAUGUCUCUAUUGAGGUCACAAACUCAUCUUCAGCUCCUUCUGGGUCCCUUGGGAACGUAGGCCUUGAGCUUCGCCCAAAACCAAGCAGAUCAAAGGUAUGGAGUGUGCGGCGGGCACUCAGGGAAUCCAUGUUGAGGAUCCAGAGGCCCACGCCACCCCCAAAGCCAUGUACCAUCACCAGAGGGGUGCGGUCCUUUUGCUCUGGGCUCACAGUCACCGUCCAGAUCUUGUUCUGGUUUGGGAGGGAUACAUAACGGGCCAGGAACUUGUUCUGGAGACCUGAGAAAGGAAGAAUUCCUGGGUAAAGCAACAGGAAUGCUUCCUGAGAGCACAGACAUUUUGCCUGGAAUACUCUCUUCAGUUUUCUCUCCUCCUCAAGGAAAGCCCUCCUAGUCCCCACAGUGAGUUCCAGGACAACCAGGGUCACAUAGAAAGACCCUAUCUCAAAAGAAAAGGGUAAAAAAAAAG